UUUUAUUUUAUUAUUGUUGAUGUGUUAAAUAAUUCAUAAUUCUAUUAUGAAUUAAAUAAUUUAUAAUAGUUAAUGUUUUAAAAAACAAAAGUGGAAUAGAUUAAACAAAUCAUAUAUUUAUUUCGGAUAUAUUAAAUUAUUUUUUUAAUUUCAAAUUGAUUGAAUUCAUUUUUCGCUUUCGUUUAAUUUAUAGCUUCAAAAGAUGACAACUUUUAUGAACAAAUACUCGAUAUCCUACCCUUUUCCACUAAUACAGAUUUAUUUUCAGAAAAUUUUUAUGGUCGCGCGCAAUGCGAUCAGUAGAAUCAGUGUUUGUUUCGUAAUAAAGUAUUUUUAAUAUUUUUUAGAGCACAGCUGCUCUUAUACAAUUUAAUUGUAAUAAUUAUUCGCGAAAUUAGAGUCAGUGUUCGUUCGCCGAUUAUCACAUUUACGGACGCGUCAGUAGUUUAUUAUUUUUUUUUUUUUUUAUAAAUUUUCGUUUUCGGUACAGGGUAAAAUCAGUGCUUUCAAGAACAUACGGCGAUCAUCCAUCACGCGAAGAGGUACUGUCAUCGUUUGGAUUUUUAAAAAAAAAAUGUUGUGGUCGCGCGCAAUGCGAUCGGUAGAAUCAGUGUUUGUUUCGUAAUAAAGUAUUUUUAAUAUUUUUUAGAGCACAGCUGCUCUUAUACAAUUUAAUUGUAAUAAUUAUUCGCGAAAUUAGAGUCAGUGUUUGUUCGCCGAUUAUCACAUUUACGGACGCGUCAGUAGUUUAUUAUUUUUUUUUUUUUUAUAAAUUUUCGUUUUCGGUACAGGGUAAAAUCAAUGCUUUCAAGAACAAACGGCGAUCAUCCAUCACGCGAAGAGGUACUGUCAUCGUUUGGAUUUUUGAAAAAAAAAUGUUGUGGUCGCGCGCAAUGCGAUCGGUAGAAUCAGUGUUUGUUUCGUAAUAAAGUAUUUUUAAUAUUUUUUAGAGCACAGCUGCUCUUAUACAAUUUAAUUGUAAUAAUUAUUCGCGAAAUUAGAGUCAGUGUUUGUUCGCCGAUUAUCACAUUUACGGACGCGUCAGUAGUUUAUUAUUUUUUUUUUUUUUUUAUAAAUUUUCGUUUUCGGUACAGGGUAAAAUCAGUGCUUUCAAGAACAUACGGCGAUCAUCCAUCACGCGAAGAGUUUUCAUCCUCCAACUUGAUGACAACUUCGUAAUGGAUCAUGACAGCAUUGAUGGCACCGCAGAUUCUUCGCAUCUAAUGGUGAGUCGCAUGCAUUUUGGUUCCUCUGGUCAUUCAAUCAUGUCGUAGGAUGAAAGAUCCGAAUCGACACGGAUGACUGGUUGUAUACGUAGAUUUUUGCACGAGCACAAUGACCGCGGGUAUUUAUUAUACCCGUGAAUAGUAACAUUUCAUUUGUGUUUUAUUUAUUAGAUCAGGAUAGGUUUUCUUGCACAUCGCGUUUUUAACAAAACGAUAUUAAUAAUUAACGUUAUAUGAAUAAGUUUUAACGUAAUAUUAGAAAUUAUAUAAUAAUAAUGAUGAUGCAUAUAAUAAUUAUAAUGAUUAUAUUAUAAUAAUGGUUGUUUAUUAUCACGUGAUAAUAAACAAUAUUUAAUUUCUCCCUCUAUUUCAUCAUAAUGCAUCGAAUUAAUUAUUUGACAUUUUAUUUUGAAUUUAAAUUCGAAAUGUAAAAAUAUUUAGUUUUUCAUGUUUCUUCCGUACAAAAAAAUAUGAUAAAAUAUAGUGCAAGAAAACAUUUCGCGACAGGUAGAUUUUUGAAUCAAAGCCACAAGUUUUGAACAUCGUUUUAGUACUUUCGAAAAUCCGCUUUGAUGAAAAAAUCGCCUGAGGUUAUUUUCAUUAAUAUUUAGAGUCAAUGAUCU